rnacentral:rRNA from 1 species
AUACGGAGGGUGCGAGCGUUAAUCGGAAUUACGGGGCGUAAAGGGUGCGCAGGCGGCUUGAUAAGUCGGAUGUGAAAGCCCCGGGCUUAACCUGGGAAUUGCAUUCGAUACUGUCAGGCUAGAGUAUGUCAGAGGUUGGCGGAAUUCCUGGUGUAGCGGUGAAAUGCGUAGAUAUCAGGAGGAACACCAGUGGCGAAGGCGGCUAACUGGGGCAAUACUGACGCUGAGGCACGAAAGCGUGGGGAGCAAACAGGAUUAGAAACCCUAGUAGUCC